AGGCCGCGAUUGAUCCAGACAGCGCAGCCGAUGGUAAGACAAGAUCCGUCUCCAUAAUUUUUUAUGAAAAUUUAAAAUUUAAAAUUUUAUGUUUAUGAGGAAUCUAAUUAUUUUAUUUUUUAGAUUUUAUCCAAUUCAUCACACAACCCGCCUUUCAGACAGUUAUCGAUCUCACGCAAGAUGGCGACGAAGAUCCCACCGUCAACGUAACAGACAACAUCCCGCCUGAUUCCGCUCCGGCCCACAUCGAGAAUCCAAUAGGAUCCUGCGACGAAUCACUCCCUGGACCCGCUGACGAACCAGCGAGAAAGAAGACUAGAAAAACGAAUCGCCCCACCUCUCCGGGCAGUCCUGGACCGUGUGACGAACCACCAAGAAAGACUUAUCGUUUUACAGCGGUGGUCCGACCUGAAUCGAACGGCGAACUACCGAGAAAGGCUUAUCGUUUUACCCCGGCGAUCAGUCCCGAGAGCCCUCCAGAGAGGAAAACUCUCUGUCCGGUACCACCGAACAGCCCGGCGACCAGUCCUGAGACCGAUCUGUUUUAUGCAGACUCGAGUAGAAGCCAUAAGGAUGACGUGACUACCUGGGGCAUGUCUCAAAUCGAUGCCUGGGACCAGAGUUCUUGGACGAGCGAGCGUGACGAGGUGUCUACCACCAACGUGGGUCAAACGCCAUAUCCUUCUCCCUCACCGUCGUCCGAAGAAGUAGAAGUGGAAGAAGUGCCGGCGCCUCAGCCGCUUGAUGAAUCAUGCGACGAUCUGCCUCCGUUUCAUAGCCCCAUUAAUUCGAUACAAUCAUUCGGUCAAGAGUUGCCCAACGCGAUCAAUUUGUUGUUAAUAUCAUCUUGUACGUUGCGGAGUUCGACGUAUUUGUUGUUUAUGUCAACCUGUGCGUCGCGAAACUCUUGACCGAAUGAUUGUAUCGAAUUAAUGGGGCUAUGAAACGGAGGCAGAUCGUCGCAUGAUUCAUCAAGCGGCUGAGGCGCCGGCACUUCUUCCACUUCUACUUCUUCGGACGACGGUGAGGGAGAAGGAUAUGGCGUUUGACCCACGUUGGUGGUAGACACCUCGUCACGCUCGCUCGUCCAAGAACUCUGGUCCCAGGCAUCGAUUUGAGACAUGCCCCAGGUAGUCACGUCAUCCUUAUGGCUUCUACUCGAGUCUGCUGGAUGUUAAAAAAAUCUUAAUGUUUGACACCAUCUGGUUUAAAUGCAAAUAAUGUAGUUAGUCUCACCAUAAAACAGAUCGGUCUCAGGACUGGUCGCCGGGCUGUUCGGUGGUACCGGACAGAGAGUUUUCCUCUCUGGAGGGCUCUCGGGACUGAUCGCCGGGGUAAAACGAUAAGCCUUUCUCGGUAGUUCGCCGUUCGAUUCAGGUCGGACCACCGCUGUAAAACGAUAAGUCUUUCUUGGUGGUUCGUCACACGGUCCAGGACUGCCCGGAGAGGUGGGGCGAUUCGUUUUUCUAGUCUUCUUUCUCGCUGGUUCGUCAGCGGGUCCAGGGAGUGAUUCGUCGCAGGAUCCUAUUGGAUUCUCGAUGUGGGCCGGAGCGGAAUCAGGCGGGAUGUUGUCUGUUACGUUGACGGUGGGAUCUUCGUCGCCAUCUUGCGUGAGAUCGAUAACUGUCUGAAAGGCGGGUUGUGUGAUGAAUUGGAUAAAAUCUAAAAAAUAAAAUAAUUAGAUUCCUCAUAAACAUAAAAAUUUUAAAUUUUAAAUUUUUCAUAAAAAAUUAUGGAGACGGAUCUUGUCUUACCAUCGGCUGCGCUGUCUGGAUCAAUCGCGGCCUCUGUGAAAAAAAAAAAAAAAAAAAAAAAUUAUGAUAAAAAUAAUAAAUAAAUAAAUAAAUUAAUUAAUAAUAUACAAAAUUAAAAUACAUUCAUUUUAGUUUAUAAAAAGAAUAGUUAAUACGUACUUACGUGUAUUAAUAGCGUCAAAGGCUUGGCGCUCAAUAUUUGAACCUGUGAUAAAAAAUAUAAAAAGUGUUAUGAUUUCAAACACAUGGAGAGGGUUUUUAUUUUACAGUUUAAUGGAGCACACACACAUACACACACUGUGACAAAGAAAUCGUGAUGUCAUAACAUUAAACCGCAAGCAGAUGGCGCAAUUUUCACUAUAACGGCGUCAUUUCAUCCAGACUCACCGGGGGGAGCCAUUUCACAAUCAUAUCCUCAUAUGUCGUUUCACUGCGAACAGUUAGCAAACGGGAAAAAUGGUUUUCUGAGUCACGCUUAGUUACGCUUACACCUUCCGCGAUGUCGUCUUCAUAGAUGACAAACGGAUAACGGAGUGGCAAAACGUAGAUUUAACGGACCAGAAUUGUUUUUUCUGAUAUCCUAUACGUAGCAUUGAAGCAGGCAAAACUAAGCGCGCGUCAACCGGACGUCGUCAUAUUUUCAAAAUAAAAGUAUUUUAACAGGAUGGCGUCAUAUUUUCAAAAUAAAAGUAUUUUCAACAGGAUAUGGUGAUAUAUGCAAAAUAAAAGUAUUUUUUCAUUUUUUUUUUCAUUCAUGAUAUUAAGUCCAAUAACACAUACUUUAUAUUGUUAAAAAUAUCUCUAUCUGCAUAUGGCUGCGUAAUCUGCUUAACAUGAAAUAUUAAGACGACAUAAAGACGUCAUAGACUGUAAAAAUAGGCUUUGAUCAAUGAAUAGUUUUUUAAAUAUCACUAUCGGCAGAUGUCUGCGUAAUCUGAUUAACAUGAGGAAAAUUACGGGGAAUGACAUGAAAUAAUAAGACACCAUAGACUGUAAAAUUAACAUAACAGGCUUUGAUCAAUGAAUAGUUUUUAAAAUAUCACUAUCAGCAGAUGUCUGCGUAAUCUGCUUAACAUGAAGAAAAUUACGGGGAAUGACAUGAAAUAAUAAGACACCAUAGACUGUAAAAAUAACAUAACAUGCUUUGAUCAAUGAAUAGUUUUUUUUUAAAUAUCACUAUCAGCAGAUGUCUGCGUAAUCUGCUUAACAUGAAGAAAAUUACGGGGAAUGACAUGAAAUAAUAAGACACCAUAGACUGUAAAAAUAACAUAACAG
rnacentral:lncRNA from 1 species